ACAAACAUAAGAAUCUUUUUAAGCACAACGGAAUAAGUAAAAGAUUCCCCUUCAUUGAUAUAUUCAUAAUUAUACGUACAAUGUUCAUUGGGUUAGUUUAGUUGUAAGCAGUUAAAACAUACAUAGCAGUUAUAGCAGUUAUAGACAUAAUGUAAAUGACAUAAUGUAAAAGACACAAGAGGUUUUAAGUGGUUCAGAGACUCAAGCUCCUAAUCCACUCUUCUGCUUUCAACUAGCAGGAUUUCCACUAAGGAAG
rnacentral:lncRNA from 1 species